GAUGAACGCUGGCGGCGUGCCUAAUACAUGCAAGUCGAGCGAACAGACGAGGAGCUUGCUCCUCUGACGUUAGCGGCGGACGGGUGAGUAACACGUGGAUAACCUACCUAUAAGACUGGGAUAACUUCGGGAAACCGGAGCUAAUACCGGAUAAUAUAUUGAACCGCAUGGUUCAAUAGUGAAAGACGGUUUUGCUGUCACUUAUAGAUGGAUCCGCGCCGCAUUAGCUAGUUGGUAAGGUACCGGCUUACCAAGGCGAGGAGGCGUAGCCGACCUGAGAGGGUGAUCGGCCACACGGGAACGGAGACACGGUCCAGACUCCUACGGGAGGCAGCAGUAGGGAAUCUGCCGCAAUGGGCGAAAGCCUGACGGAGCAACGCCGCGUGAGUGAUGAAGGUCUUCGGAUCGUAAUACUCUGUUAUUAGGGAAGAACAAAUGUGUAAGUAACUAUGCACGUCUUGACGGUACCUAAUCAGAAAGCCACGGCUAACUACGUG
rnacentral:rRNA from 1 species